GACGAACGCUGGCGGCGUGCUUAACACAUGCAAGUCGAACGAAGAGCGAUGGAAGCUUGCUUCUAUCAAUCUUAGUGGCGAACGGGUGAGUAACGCGUAAUCAACCUGCCCUUCAGAGGGGGACAACAGUUGGAAACGACUGCUAAUACCGCAUACGAUCUAAACUCGGCAUCGAGGAUAGAUGAUAGGUGGCCUCUACAUGUAAGCUAUCACUGAAGGAGGGGAUUGCGUCUGAUUAGCUAGUUGGAGGGGUAACGGCCCACCAAGGCGAUGAUCAGUAGCCGGUCUGAGAGGAUGAACGGCCACAAUGGGACUGGGACACGGCCCAGACUCCUACGGGAGGCAGCAGUGGGGAAUCUUCCGCAAUGGACGAAAGUCUGACGGAGCAACGCCGCGUGAGUGAUGACGGCCUUCGGGUUGUAAAGCUCUGUUAAUCGGGACGAAAGGCCUUCUUGCGAAUAGUGAGAAGGAUUGACGGUACCGGAAUAGAAAGCCACGGCUAACUACGUG
rnacentral:rRNA from 1 species